rnacentral:tRNA from 5 species
GCGAAGGUGGCGGAAUUGGUAGACGCGCUAGCUUCAGGUGUUAGUGUCCUUACGGACGUGGGGGUUCAA